GGUAACAACUUCAGCAUUGGUGGAACACACUGUUCUAAUUGUGGAUAGCAGGGUCACUGGAAAAAUGAGUGCCCAAACCCACCCCCACAGAUUCCUCAAUACCAACCAUAGCUUCCAACCUAUACCCACACCCAACAACCCCAGCCUAAUACACAGAUGGUUCAUGUUUGUAAUAUUUUAUAUAGUUUUAGGUGUUAAUCCAAGAGUACUGAAUUAUUCGGGAUUAUUAAAGUAAUUAAUUUUGAAUAUCAAAUCAAGGUUCCAGUUUAGGAACAGAGUUUUAUUGGGAAUUAUCCCCAUAUGUAUAUGUUAGUGUUUUAAUAUUCAUCCUAACAAGGAUUUCUAUAGAGUGAGUGCUACUCUCAUCCGUACAAAGGCAUUCCAAAGGGGUAUUAUGUAAAACUUCAGAGAAGACAGAUUGCAUAAAAUUUAACAGAAGUACAUGUUACACAAAUUAAGGGUUUAACCUUAAUCUUUAAUUUAAGUUUUAGCCUAGGUAAUUAAUUAAUUAAUGUUGUAUUGAUCCUUGUGUUUGUAUGAUUGUAGAGACCGUCCUGGAGUGUUUGUGCCGCCUGAUUUCUGGGACUACACACCAAUCUCUCUGGCUGACCAUGCAAUAAGUAUUUUGCAAUUACAUCUGUUUGGUCAUUAUCCAUGCAGGCCGAAGAAACUGAGAUACUUAUUUAUGAGGACAUAAACUUUGCACGCAAGAACCUGGAAAGUCCUGAAGGUGCAGUGCUGUCUAAUACCGCUGGUUCUGUAAUAACCCUUUCAACCAUUGGGGUGUUGUACAGAGCUUUGUGGUGAAAAUCCAGCAAACAAAAGAAGAACUAAGAACUAUAUGGAAGCUGACAUUGUCUUGUUGUCAGCCAUAUUGCUACCCUUAGCCAUUUUUAUGGAACAAAAUGUCUGGUGUCUAAACUGAUUUCUUUAUACUCUGUGAAAGACUUAUUCUAUUUUUCUGAACUAUGCUGAACUAUUGAACUAUUUUUAUUUUUAUUUUUGUAGAGUUAGCCAGAGAGAGAGGAAGUGUUAGCUGACCCAGGGACGGAUGUACUAUGUGUGUUUUUGAUAUAUGUUGAGUGUGCCAGGGAUGGAUUCCCAUGUUUUGAGGAACUGCGUGAGGAUAUGACUGGUUUUGACUGGACUUUUGGAAUAGGGAAAUGGUUAAAAGAUAUAGGACGCAAGGUCCUGGUUGUGCAAUAAUAUAGUUGCUAUAAGCCCAAGUUCCAUUCUGUCUUAAACAUCCAUUUUCUAUAUAUCUGUCUGCAAAAGUAUUAAGUGUUUUUUGUUUUGUUUUUUUUUCUGCUGAGUUUCUGUUUCUUGUAGCCCACAUGAUUGCUUGGGAAUGUCAUAAUGUGGAAAUUUCUCUGUCUUGGGAGAAUGUUAACCGAUGAUAUGAGCAAUAUAUAUUGCUCAAAGAGGGGUAACAAUUGUGAUUAUUGGGGCUCAGUUGGAUGGAACACCGGGACAGAUUGGGGUUAUAAGCCACAGAAUGCAUUAGAUAAAAAGGAUACGAAUGGGAAGUCCCUCUUGACUAGAAUGACCCUAACAAAGCCAGGUACAUGUACCCCUAUAGGGCAAACUGGGCAUUCCAUGAAAUUGACCUUAAAUAUUGAAAACCCCAGUCCUGGAGAUCAAGGUACCUAUAUUCUCAGUACCUUUUUAAGAGGAGGUAUUGGAGGUAAUCGAGGAAAAUUCCAGUUAAAAGAUAUGUGG
rnacentral:lncRNA from 1 species